GUAAAUAUUAAAAACAACAUGGUUUUUAGAAACUAAAAAAUUAAUUAAAAAGAGAAGUGGACCCAUGUUAGUAUUUUCCGUUCAGACCCGUAGGGUCUAUUGUUUUUAAAAAAUGGAUCCACUUCGUCUCCGCUGCCCGGCGCUGACCCGUGGUCCAGGUUCUGUUGCUCUCCAGGCCCAUGCUCGGAACAUUUUGAGAGCCGUGGAGUUUAAAAUGUGCAUAUAAAACAGUUGUGCCAUCGCCCUUAUUUAAAAUGUAUUGAUGUUCUUUUAUCCUUAAAUACAGAGCAUUUCUUGUCUCCCCCACGUAAAACUUAUGGCAGGCCCUGCAUCUAAUUGCAUAGACCACAUUGAU